AUGCCGGUAACCAAGACCUCGUCGACGGUGGUCGUCCACGCCGGCGAGCACCUGCUCAAGGUUACUGGUCACUCCCUGGUCAUCGGCAGCAAUACCUUCCUCACGUCAGAAACCUUCCGGGUCGGCCAUCACGACUGGAAUAUCCACUACUACCCGAACGGCGACCGCACUAUCGUCGACGAUCAGUUCACCUCGGUUUAUCUCUGGCUGGUAAACAUAAACACCGAUGAGAAGGAGGUCACGGCCCAGUGGUGUUUCUCCCUAAAGGAGGACCCCACACUGCCGGCAAUAGGACCCUACACCGACAAGUUCGUGCCUGAGUCUCCCAGUUGGGGUGUCUCCAGGUUUGCGAGUAAAGCUGACUUGGCCGCGUCAGGGUGUCUUAAAGACGACUGCCUAGUGAUCAAGUGCACCGUCAGAGUUAUUGCCUCUAAACUCAACGACGACGAGGACGACGACUGUGAGGACGACGACGAUGGCAUCGUCGCUCCACCCUCGGACCUAGGCAGAGAUCUUGGCUAUCUUCUAGAGAAUGGCCUUAAGACGGACCUGACGGUCAGGAUUGGCUGGUUCAGGAGUUUUGAGGUGCACGCGUGCAUGCUCGCUGCGCGGUCACCGGUCUUUCGGGCACAGUUGUGUGGCGCGAUGAUGGAGAGCAGAGAAAGCACUAUCCGCAUCAAGGACAUGGACGCCAAAGUUUUUGAGGUCCUGCUUCAUUACAUAUACAAUGAUUGCCUCCCUGAGUUUAUGGAGGAGACCACAGAAGUGGCUAUAAACAUGACGCAACAUUUGUUAGUUGCGGCUGAUCGGUACGCCAUUGGCAGGCUGAAGCUUAUAUGUGAGGGCAAGGUGAGCAAGGCGCUAGAUGUCAAUACCGUGGGUUUCACUUUGGAUCUCGCGGAGCAAUAUCACUGCCAACUGCUCAAGGAUUACUGUCUCAAGUACAUGGUAAAAGACAGUGAAAGGUUACGAGCCAUUGUAAAGACCAGCGGGUUCGAGCAACUGAAGCAAAACCACCCACUUAUUGCAUGUGAAAUUCUCCAUAAAGUAAUUGACAAGCUGUAA
rnacentral:rRNA from 1 species